CCUGGCGGCAGGCUUACACAUGCAAGUCGAACGGUAGCAGGAGGAAGCUUGCUUUCUUGCUGAUGAGUGGCGGACGGGUGAGUAAUGCUUGGGAAUCUGGCUUAUGGAGGGGGAUAACUACUGGAAACGGUAGCUAAUACCGCGUAAUAUCGAGAGAUUAAAGGGUGGGACUUUCGGGCCACCUGCCAUAAGAUGAGCCCAAGUGGGAUUAGGUAGUUGGUGGGGUAAAGGCCUACCAAGCCUGCGAUCUCUAGCUGGUCUGAGAGGAUGGCCAGCCACACUGGAACUGAGACACGGUCCAGACUCCUACGGGAGGCAGCAGUGGGGAAUAUUGCACAAUGGGGGGAACCCUGAUGCAGCCAUGCCGCGUGAAUGAAGAAGGCCUUCGGGUUGUAAAGUUCUUUCGGUGAUGAGGAAGGUGUUUUGUUUAAUAGACAAAGCAAUUGACGUUAGUCACAGGAGAAGCACCGGCUAACUCCGUGCCAGCAGCCGCGGUAAU
rnacentral:rRNA from 1 species